CAGUCGCCACGGGAAUACAGAGGGUGCGAGCGUUAAUCGGAUUUACUGGGCGUAAAGCGUGCGUAGGCGGCUUUUUAAGUCGGAUGUGAAAUCCCUGAGCUUAACUUAGGAAUUGCAUUCGAUACUGGGAAGCUAGAGUAUGGGAGAGGAUGGUAGAAUUCCAGGUGUAGCGGUGAAAUGCGUAGAGAUCUGGAGGAAUACCGAUGGCGAAGGCAGCCAUCUGGCCUAAUACUGACGCUGAGGUACGAAAGCAUGGGGAGCAAACAGGAUUAGAUACCCCAGUAGUCCCUGUCUCUUAACC
rnacentral:rRNA from 1 species